AAAUAGAGAUUGAGUUCAUAUAAAGCCAAUCUGAAUUGGAGGCUGAGUUCAUAUAAAGCCGACCUAAAUUGAAAGUUGAAUGCCAACCUGAAUUGAAGACUGAAUGCUGAUCUGACUCAUCUCAGCUUAUAUAUAUAAACACCGACCUGCACUACCUAAAUUGACUUCUAGUGAAAUAUUAUGAUCAGCUCAUAUAUAUAUC
rnacentral:lncRNA from 1 species